GAAGAAGAGCUGUCAUUUUAGCACCAAGAAGUAAGUCGUCCAGCCAGCAAGCAGCAGUGCCCCGACCAGCACUGUGUAGCUGAAGAGCACGAAGGCCAGGAGCUCCUUCAGCACCUUGAGGAAGUGGACGGCAAAGGAGUCCGGCAUGGUUCUUGCAGCACGGCAAGGCAGCAGCUGUCUUUCCAUUGCACAGUCGGUUAAAAACUUGGUUGCUGUGGCCUGGCCCCGUUGGCUGCCUAUUUUCAUGAACAUGCUAGAGCUUGGAGAAGCAGAAGUGCCUCAUCUUUCAUGAGAAAGCUGAGCGCAGAAGCAACCCCUCCCCAGUGUACAGAACCUAAGUGGCAGUGAUGUGUAACAGGAGCCUGGCAGAGCACACAGGUGAACCAAGCAGGUUCAGCAACACAUGUUACUUGGAAAAGAUUUCUGUAGAAGCACAAGGGGGCACACACAAGAACUCACAACUUUGACACUGGAAGGACACCAUCCAGAUCAGAUAUUU